rnacentral:rRNA from 1 species
AUUGAACGCUGGCGGCAUGCCUUACACAUGCAAGUCGAACGGUAACAGGUCUUCGGAUGCUGACGAGUGGCGAACGGGUGAGUAAUACAUCGGAACGUGCCCGAUCGUGGGGGAUAACGGAGCGAAAGCUUUGCUAAUACCGCAUACGAUCUACGGAUGAAAGCAGGGGACCGCAAGGCCUUGCGCGGACGGAGCGGCCGAUGGCAGAUUAGGUAGUUGGUGGGAUAAAAGCUUACCAAGCCGACGAUCUGUAGCUGGUCUGAGAGGACGACCAGCCACACUGGGACUGAGACACGGCCCAGACUCCUACGGGAGGCAGCAGUGGGGAAUUUUGGACAAUGGGCGCAAGCCUGAUCCAGCCAUGCCGCGUGCAGGAUGAAGGCCUUCGGGUUGUAAACCGCUUUUGUACGGAACGAAAAGACUCUUUCUAAUAAAGAGGGUCCAUGACGGUACCGUAAGAAUAAGCACCGGCUAACUACGUGCCAGCCGCCGCAGUAACAC